rnacentral:rRNA from 1 species
GACGUAGGGGGCCAGCGUUGCUCGGAAUUACUGGGUGUAAAGGGUUCGUAGGCGGUGUGGCAAGUCGGGAGUGAAAUCUCUGGGCUCAACCCAGAGUCUGCUUCCGAAACUGCUGUGCUUGAGUGUGGGAGAGGCGCGUGGAAUUGCAGGUAUAGCGGUGAAAUGCGUAGAUAUCUGCAGGAACACCCGUGGCGAAAGCGGCGCGCUGGACCACUACUGACGCUGAGGAACGAAAGCUAGGGGAGCAAACAGG